GACGAACGCUAGCGGCAGGCUUAAUACAUGCAAGUCUACGGGGAUCCGAGGUAGGCAAUACUUUGGUGAGAGUGGCGCACGGGUGCGUAACACGUAUGCAACCUACCUAUAACCGGGACACAACUCGAGAAAUUGAGGCUAAUAUCCCAUAACACUGCGAGAUGGCAUCAUUUUGCAGUUAAAACUCCGGUGGUUAUAGAUGGGCAUGCGCGACAUUAGCUAGUUGGUGAGGUAACGGCCCACCAAGGCUACGAUGUCUAGGGGUUCUGAGAGGAUUAUCCCCCACACUGGUACUGAGACACGGACCAGACUCCUACGGGAGGCAGCAGUAAGGAAUAUUGGUCAAUGGGCGCAAGCCUGAACCAGCCAUGCCGCGUGAAGGAUGACGGCCCUAUGGGUUGUAAACUUCUUUUGUACGGGAAAAAACCUCUGGUCGAGAAUCAGAGCUGAUGGUACCGUAAGAAUAAGCAUCGGCUAACUCCGUG
rnacentral:rRNA from 1 species